rnacentral:lncRNA from 1 species
AAGGCCAAAUUAAGUUUGCAAUGGAGAUGAUGAACUUGAAGCCUUCGUUUGGUCGGAAGCUAAACCAAGACGGGUUUAGCCCCUUGCACUUGGCCUUAAAAAAUGGGCAUACCAAGCUAGUGCUUCGACUGUUGGAGACCGAUAAAGAUCUGGUUCGCGUCAAAGGAAGGGAAGGGAUGACCCCUUUCCAUUUUGCAGCUGCAGUGGGGAACUCUAAUCUUUUAUUCCAGUUCCUUGAAACUUGCCCUGAAUGCGUUGAGGAUGUCACGGUUCGUAACGAGACUGCAUUACAUCUUGCUCUGAAAAACGACCACACCGACGCUUUUAAUCUCUUACAUGGAUGGCUUCGAAAGAACCGUCGUGGAGGAGGCAAUGGUUUGGAAAGAAAGGUUGUGAAUUGGAGAGAUGAUGAUGACAACAGUGUGUUGCACAUUGCAGCUACAAGAAAACAACAUCAGGUAUAUAUGCAAUAUAAUAAUAAGUUGCGCUCCUUUGAUCAUUUUAUUAAUGACUAUUUAUAAUAUUCUACGCAGGCAGUACAACUGUUGUUGGAUUCCUUUUAUGGGUUAGAUGCAAACGCUAAGAACUCGGAAGGCUUGACAGCUCGAGAAAUCAUAGAAAGGGUUGAAAGACAGGGGUUGAACAUGAGUGGCGCCGAAGACGAUGAUACCACCACCGCCAAGAUUGAGCGCAUUAAGAAAAGAACUAGUAGGCCUGAAAGAGCAUUAAUAAAGUUGAUUCGUGCAAGGAAUGGGUUGUCGGAGAACAUGCUCAACGCAACACUGGUGGUAGCGGCGCUGGUCAUAACAGCAAUCUACCAGUCGUCUUUAAGCCCACCAAGAGGUCUUUGGCAAGGUGAUAACACUAUCCCCACCACCACCUCAAACCUUACUACGACUACUAAAUUUACCCUCUUUAACGACAAUUACAGUGAGUAUCGUUUUAAAUUUGUGUUGGGUGAAGAAACAAGGAAAACAGGUACAGCAGUCAUGAAUCCCAACUUGUUUUUAGGGUUUUGGUUUUUCAAUUUUAUAGCAUUUGGGCUUCCGGUUCUUCUAACCGUUUUGCUUUUAUCCAAUGUACCUAGUAUUCUUCUCAUCCCGCUGUAUUAUCUAUCCGUCUCCUACUUCAACUGCAUGACAAUAAUAUCUCCUUCCACGUUUUGGGCAAACCUCAACUUUGUUGUCAUGUGGACAGCCAUUAUUCUCCCGUUGCUCAUAGUUUUUAGAAGUGUAUGGUUAUCGAAGCGGCCAAAGUACAGGGAAAUCAGACAAUUACGCAGACUUUUCCACAAAUAGAAUAAUGUUGGAAUCACUCAAUGGUUGCGAAUGUCAAUGUAGUUUACAUGUUCUCUUAUGUUAUGUACUCUUUUUCCAUUUUCUCUGGAUUAAUAUCUUUUCUCUUGGGUAAAAAAAUUAUGUAAUUGCUUUGGAUAAAUUUAAUAAAUAAGAGUAAUUUUCCCAACAGAUAUCUUUGUCCUUUGCAACGAAAAGAAAAAACAAAGAAAAGCCAACCAUCCUAUUUUCUAAUUUUAAAAAAUAAUUUCCUGUUUCUGAAAAUAUCGAUUCUUUUUUUUUAAAGAUGUUUUCAAAAUAUUAUUCAGUCAAAGUUAAUGAAUUUCUCAACAAAUCGAUAAUGUUGUGGAAUUUGUUGCGGAAAGGAUCGAUUCGAGAACUCCGAUAUGACUACAAGUAAAUUGACCGAAACGAAAAAAUAAAGUGAACACAAGGAUUUACGUGGUUCGGCUUUAAUGCCUACGUCCACGGGCAGAGGCGAAAAGAAAUUUCACUAUAACAAGAUGAAGAUUACAAGUGUUUUACACUCAAGACACAACCCGAGAACCUCACAACUCUCAACCCCUAUAGAAAACCCGAAAGCUAAAAUCCUAGCUUUCAAAGAACAAGCUUUGCUCUCUCUUGGUUUGGGAUCAUCAAUAUGGCUAAUGAACCUCUCUAUUUAUAAGAGAGUUCAAGGACAUAAUUGUCCAAAACUUUGGCAAAGAUUUGUGGUUGAAAAUGGACACCAACAACCAUCCACUAAUCCACUACCACCAACAACCCACUACCAAUUUUAAGCCAUUUCUUAACAAAUCUCCACCUUGGCUUGAAAUUUACCAAGCUGAACAUCAUAGUGAACUGGAUCACCUCUUCCAAACGCCUCUCUGGCGCUAAUCAAUCCCGAAUACCUAUCAAGUCCAAGCAAUGCUUGAACUUAUAUGCAGGGAUCACCUUAGUUAACAUAUCUGCAGGAUUCUUCUCGGUAGCAACCUUGCUGAUAACAAUGUCACCUUGCGUAACAUGUUCCCGAACAAAAUGAUAUCUGACAUCAAUGUGUUUGGUCCGUUCAUGAAACAUCUGAUUUUUAGUCAGAUGUAUGGCACUCUGGCUAUCGCAAAAUACAACAGUGAAAUCCUGUUGUAAACCCAAACUGCUUACUAGACCUUUCAUCCACAAUGCUUCUUUCACUGCUUCUGCUAACGCCAUAUAUUCCGCCUCAGUCGUAGAUAAGGCUACGGUAGACUGUAACACAGCUUUCCAACUAAUGGCUCCUCCAGAAUAAGUGAAAACAUAACCCGUCAGAGAUCUUCUUUUGUCCAGAUCUCCAGCAUAAUCAGAGUCCGCAUAGCCCGUGACACUGCUAGUGCAGUCACUCUGAUCAUAUACCAAGCAUAAAUCUGCAGAACCUCUCAAGUACCUGAGAAUCCAUUUCACGGCCUGCCAGUGUUCCUUGCCAGGACAACUCAUGUAUCUGCUGACCACACUAACUGCAUGUGAAAUGUCUGGACGAGUGCAAACCAUUGCAUACAUCACGCUUCCAACUGCACUCGAGUAUGGAAUGUGAGACAUUUGCUGCUUUUCUUCAUCAGAUUGUGGUGACAACUCUGCAGAGAGUUUGAAAUGUGGUGCCAACGGAGUACUCACAGUUUUCGCUUUAUCCAUGCCGAAGCGUUGAAGAACCUUUUCAAUGUAGUUCUUCUGCGACACACGAAGCUUGCCCGCCUUGCGAUCUCUGUGAAUAUCCAUGCCCAAAAUUUUCUUGGCAGCACCCAGAUCCUUCAUCUCGAACUCACCACUCAACUGCGACUUUAACUUGUUGAUUUCCGACAUGUUUUUGGAAGCAAUUAACAUGUCAUCAACAUACAGCAACAAAUAAAUGUGCGAACCAUCUGAGAGCUUCCGAUGAUAGACACAAGCAUCAUAGUCACAUCUUGUGUAACCAUGCUGAAUCAUGAAGCUAUCAAACCGCUUGUACCACUGCCUUGGGGAUUGUUUCAAUCCAUAUAAAGACUUCUUUAAUAGACAGACAUGGUCUUCUUUACCAGGAACUGUAAAACCCUCUGGUUGACGCAUGUAGAUUGUUUCCUCGAGCUCACCAUGCAAGAACGCCGUUUUUACGUCAAGCUGCUCAAGUUCUAGAUCAGACUUGGCCACCAUGGCAAGUAAUACACGAAUGGAAGAAUGCUUUACGACUGGGGAGAAAACUUCAUUGUAGUCAAUCCCCUCUUUCUGAGUGAAGCCUUUAGCAACCAAUCGUGCCUUGAAUCUAGUUGCUUCAACCCCUAGGAUGCCUUCCUUUUUCUUGAAGACCCAUUUGCAACCAACUAUCUUCUGGUUACUUGGCGGCUUAACCAACUCCCAAGUAUGGUUCUUGUGAAGAGAUUCUAUCUCCUCACUCAUAGCAAUUGCCCACUGUGCCGACUCAUCACACGUGACAGCCUCAUUAUAACUGGAAGGUUCUAUACCAAUGGACUCCGCCACACUGAGCGCGAAAGACACCAGAUUAGCGUAACGCGGAUUUGGUUUGAUUUGUCUCUUCGUUCUUCCAGUGGCAAUGCUAUAUGGUUUUUCUUGAGGUGACUCAUCUUCAUCGGAAUCUUGCACCUCAACUUGAUCAUCCUGGACUGAAGUACCUUCCGUAGGAAUUGGAGCGUCCACCUGACACUCCACCUGCUUCUCAACACCGUGAUCUCCCAUUCUAUCUGACUCCUCCUUUUCCCGGGAAUUUGUGGUGGAUCGAAGCAUGGAUGACUCAUCAAAAGUCACAUCUCUGCUGAUGAUGAACUUGGACGAAACCGGAUCAGGACACCACAACCUGUAUCCUUUCACCCCUUGGCCGUAUCCAAGAAAUAUGCAUUUCUUCGCCCUCGGUUUGAGUUUUCCCUCAUUUACAUGAGCAUACGCAGGGCAGCCAAACACUCUUAAACCAGAGUAAUCAGCAGGAGAACCAGACCAUACUUCCUCAGGAGUCUUCAGCUCAAUAGCUGUUGACGGAGAUCUGUUAACCAAAUAACAAGCAGUAUUAACAGCUUCAGCCCAAAAUUCUUCACCGAGCCCAGCAUUUGAUCGCAUGCAACGAGCUCGCUCCAAGAGAGUUCUAUUCAUGCGUUCUGCAACUCCAUUUUGUUGUGGUGUUCGACGAACAGUGCGGUGUCUCACUAUUCCUUCAUUUUUGCAGAACUCAUUGAAUUCACCUGAGCAAAACUCCAAGCCAUUAUCCGUCCGGAAUCGCUUGAUCUUCUUUCCUGUUUGAUUUUCGAUCAAAGCUUUAAAUUGCUUGAAGUUGAUGAGAACCUCAUACUUGCUCUUCAGAAAAUACACCCAAACCUUUCUCGAGUAAUCAUCGAUAAAGGUAAGCAGAUAUCUGUAACCACCUUUAGAAAUUGUCGGAGAAGGCCCCCAAAGGUCAGAAUGGAAGUAAUCCACUGUGCCUUUUGUCUUGUGAAUCCCAGUGCUGAACUUUACCCGAGUCUGCUUACCGAAGACGCAGUGCUCACAGAAAUUCAACUUUCCUGUACACUGCCCAGACAAUAAUCCUCGUUUGCUUAGCACCGAUAAGCCUCUCUCGCUCAUAUGCCCGAGCCGCAUAUGCCAUAACUUCGUGGUGUCAGAAUCUAGAUCAUCUGAUGAUGACACUCCCGCAACACCUGUAACCGAGGAACCAUCGAGGAAGUAAAGGCCCCGCUCCAAAUUACCACGUAUCACAGUCAAAGCACCCGAGAAUACCUUGAGAACUCCACCUUCAGCAGAGUACCGAAAGCCUUUCUUGUCCAACGUACUCAAAGAGAUCAAAUUUUUCUUCAUUUCUGGAAUGUGCCGAACAUCAGUUAGAGUUCUAACAAUACCGUCAAACAUCUUUAUACGAACUGUGCCAAUCCCCAUGACUUGACAUGCGUGGUCAUUUCCCAUUAGUACUGAACCAGAAUGCUUCUCGUAUGUUGAGAAUGCAUCUUUCGAAGUACUUAUAUGAAAUGUAGCUCCCGUAUCAAGAAUCCAUCUCCCACCAGCGUAAGAGUCGGAUACUGCAAGAACGAUCUCGGCAUCACUUGAAGAAUCUGCAUCAGCUACAUUCGCACGAUCAUUUUGUUGCUCCUGUGAUUCUGAUUUCUCCUUCCUUUUCGGACAAUCUACCUUCAUGUGCCCGUACUUCUUACAGUAGUAGCACUGUAUUCUCUUCUUGGACUGCGAUCUAGGAUGGCUUUUACUUGAACUUCCACCCUUUGCCUUGGAUCUUCCUCGAGCAACCAAGCCUUCGCCUUCAUUGUUUUCGACCACCUUACCAGUGAUUUUCUUCCUCAACUCACUGGAACUUAAGGCAUUUUUCACCUCCUCUAGAGUCAGGUCAUCACGACCGUACAUCAUUGUAUCAACAAAAUUCUCAUACGAGGGAGGCAAAGAACACAAAACAAUUAUUGCUUGGUCCUCAUCAUCGAUUUUGUUAUCGAUAUUAUUCAAAUCCAUGAUAAUGGAAUUGAAUUUAUCCAGGUGCUGGGAAACAGGUGUACCUUCCUCCAUCUUCAGGGCAUAGAGUCUUUGCUUGAGGUAGAGCCGGUUCGUCAAUGACUUCGUCAUGUACUUGCUCUCUAACCGGAGCCACAAACCGGACGCGGUUUUCUCAUCCGCUACUUCUCGUAGCACUUCAUCUCCUAGACAUAGCAGAAUAGCACUAUGUGCUCUUUCUAGCAUGUCAUCCUUUUGCUCUUCCGAAAGCGUGCUUGGUAAUUUAUCUUUACCAGACAAUGCUUUUAGCAAUCCUUGUUGAACCAGCACUGCCCGCAUCUUGAUGCGCCAUAAACUGAAACUAUUUUUCCCGGUAAAUUUCUCGACAUCAUACUUAGUCGAUGAAACACUUGUAGCCAUAAUUUGGAACCUUUGAAUGAAUGAUAAUAUUUUCUUCCUGAUGUGAAAGAUCAGACAAAGCUGCAGUCACAGGGCAAUUCAGAAAAUAUUAUCACUCCUUCAACUACGCUCUGAUACCAAUUUGUUGCGGAAAGGAUCGAUUCGAGAACUCCGAUAUGACUACAAGUAAAUUGACCGAAACGAAAAAAUAAAGUGAACACAAGGAUUUACGUGGUUCGGCUUUAAUGCCUACGUCCACGGGCAGAGGCGAAAAGAAAUUUCACUAUAACAAGAUGAAGAUUACAAGUGUUUUACACUCAAGACACAACCCGAGAACCUCACAACUCUCAACCCCUAUAGAAAACCCGAAAGCUAAAAUCCUAGCUUUCAAAGAACAAGCUUUGCUCUCUCUUGGUUUGGGAUCAUCAAUAUGGCUAAUGAACCUCUCUAUUUAUAAGAGAGUUCAAGGACAUAAUUGUCCAAAACUUUGGCAAAGAUUUGUGGUUGAAAAUGGACACCAACAACCAUCCACUAAUCCACUACCACCAACAACCCACUACCAAUUUUAAGCCAUUUCUUAACAGAAUUAAAUCUGAAUAUUACAUAAAAAGAUGACAAUACAUUUUUUCGAUUUAAUAUUCAAGCCAAAUAACAUGCAACUUUGAUAGAGAUAAUGAACAGUAAACCUCAUAAGGGUUCUAAGAAGUCCUUUUAUGCUUGCCUUUCCAGACUACACCGCUUUGGAGCCCAAUAUGGCUCAUUCUCUUUGUCUGCAUAGUCAGCUUUUGUGCUUGCUUGAGUUUUGCGGUUUCAGGUCCUUUUCACUUCUACAAGCAUUAAGAUUGUCUACACUAGAUCACAUUCAUGUAAUUUGGGCUCACAAUGAACCUGGUUUUGUCUGGACUCAUUGCUAUGUGUUUAAGUUAGACUUGGACCUUUCAUUUUUUUUUAUAUGAAAAUUGAUUGCUCGGGAAUUUUGUUAAACCAAACUAUGUCAAUUUUACCUUAAAAAAAACAUGUUAAUUUUGUACACGUCCUUGUACUAUUAUAGUAUGAAAUAUAUUUUUCUUUCAAAUGAGAAAACAAGUAAUAUGAAUUUUUUUUUUGUAAUAAUUGAAUUAAACUGUUAAAUGCGACGGUUCAAAUUAAGCAACAAUGAGUUAGGUAAACUUGUCAUUAUUUAAAUUAAUAUCUAUCAUUUAAUUAAGCCCCCUUAUAAAAUUAUUUUCCUUUACAAUUCUUAUGAAAUCAAAAAAAAAAAAAUUUUUGCAGGACUGAGAUAAAAUUAUAAAAUUUUAGGAAGAUCAAUGUUAUUUUUUUUUGCUUAAAUUAAAUUAUUAAAUUUUUAGAACGGCGAAAAAUUAAAAAUUUUCCAUUAAUCAAAAAGGUUUUAAAAAAAAACUUAAAUGAAAUAAUUGGUCCUUGUAGUCUCAAUUUCUAAGGACCUUUGGGCUGAAUUUAAGAGUACAAGAACCAAAAUGCACUCCUCUCAAUUGAAUAUUAUAAUUGGUUUGAUUUAUUAUUUUUGGUGCAAACAAUCAACACUCAAACAGUCAAUACCGUCCGAUAGAUCACGUGGAAAACCAUCCUAACAUAUGAGAAUAUAUCCAGAAGAAGAAACUUAUCCAAAUCCAACCCACCACAAGUUGUCAACCAGCUCAUCCCAUUGGCCUUUCCACACCUUCGAACUGAUUGGUGCAAUCCGAGCUGGUCCUAUUAUUGGAAAGAGAAUAGAAUCUUAACCGUGGGACCACACUUAAGCCGGCGUCCUAAAUGAUUAGACGCGUGAAAAAACGGUGGGUAUUCUUUCACCCAAUACCAUCACUACAAAUACACAAACCAUGUCUACCCAUACUCUGGGCUAUUUGUGAUAAAACAGGAAAACAAUGAAAAAUAAUAAUAUAAAGAAGAGAAAACAUUCAAAUCUCGUUAAAUUCAUGAACAAAAUUGGUUGUGGGGUUCUCAAUGUUGCUAAGUAAAGACGGAGUUUUUAAUAUUGAUGCGAGAGCUAUUUUAGAAGGGUUAUGUUAGAGAUUGAGAGUAAUAACACUCUUUUGAUGGGAUGAUUGUAGAGGGAGGAGCAGCUAAUAGUUAGUUAAUAGAAUUACAUUCUAUUCAUCGAAUGAUGCGUCGAGAUUGGAAGAUUUGUUUUCGUCAUAUCCCAAGAACUCACAAUACAAUUGCUGAUCAUAUUACUAAGGUUAUGACGAUAAAAUUCACUGAAGUCUUAUUUUGUACAACAUUUAAUAUAAACAGAUUACAUUAGUAUUACAUAGGCUAAUACGUUAUCUUAAUAGUAUCGCGUACAGCUAUUUUAAUUUACCAAAUAAUAAUAAUAAUGGAGCCCAUGCUUUUUGAAUCUUUUCUAUGUCACAGCUAUGGAGAUGGGUCAAGACACAACUAUCCUUUUUUUAGGUCAAAUAAAUCUCAAUUAGUUUUUUAAGCCCUCUGUAUAUAUAUAUUUAUCUAAUAAAAUUUUCCACGUUUCAUAAUGAUCGAAGAAGUGUAAAGCAAAAGUUUAUAAAAAGUUUAUAAUUAAAAAAUAUUCCAUAUCUUCGAGUAUUUAACUGAAAAGUUGAUAUGUUUAUAAAAAUUUAUUUUAUGAUCAAUAUAUAUCAAGAAAAAAAUUUUAAUUUCAAAAAAAUAUUGAUUAAAAAUAUCCACCAAAAUGAUAAGAAUGUACAUAAUUCAAAAUUUUAAACAUCUUAUUUUUAAACUGAUAUUCCUAAGUAAAUUAUAUAUCUUAAAAUAUGUUUUUAAUACUGAUAUUUCUUAAUAAAUUUGUUUCUAAAUUAAAUAUUAUUUUUCUAAAAUUAUCUUAAAAUUUUUGAUACGUGAAAAAAGUUCGACAAAAUAUAGUAAAAUAUUAAAAAAUAAAUAUUAAAAAAAACACAUACCAAUACACAAAAUAUAUUUUAUAACAUGUUAUUUAAAAUAAAUAUUUUAUUUUCUAAAAGUAUUUUUUUUGCCACAAUACUAAAAAUAUAAAUUUUAGAGUAAAAUAUUUGAAAGCUAAGCUGGUCAACUUGCCUUGAAACAAGUGGGGAAAAUGCGUCCAAAUUAUAUUGAAGUGAGAAACAGGGAGUGGGUUUCAAGAUUUUGAAGUCUAUGAUUGGCGGCCAUCGAUUUAUAUCCCUCGUCAAAUCUAUAUUUUAAAAAUGAUUAAAAAUAUUCGAUAUUUAUAUUCAAUAUAAAUCUACCCUUGACGGAGCUUGUUUUAAAUCAGUUGAGGUUUCAAAUAAGGAUAGUCAUUUUGCAACUCUCCUAAUUUCUUCAUCAUUUAAAGAAAGAAACAAAAGCAUGGAUCCAAGCUUGAGAGAAGUAGCUGGAACAGGAGAUACUAAUGCCUUGUACGCUCUAAUUCGAAAGGAUCCGUACAUGUUGGAGCGUAUUGAUCAGAUUCCUUUCAUCGAUACUCCACUUCACAUAGCAGCAAAUGAAGGCCAAAUUAAGUUUGCAAUGGAGAUGAUAAACUUGAAGCCUUCGUUUGGUCGGAAGCUAGACCAAGACGGCUUUAGCCCCAUGCAUUUGGCCUUCAAAAUGGGGCAUACCAAGCUAGUGCUUCGACUGUUGAAGACCGAUAAAGACCUGGUUCGCGUCAGAGGAAGGGAAGGGAUGACCCCUUUCCAUUGUGCAGCUGCAGUGGGGAACUCUAAUCUUUUAUUCCAGUUCCUUGAAACUUGCCCUGAAUGUGUUGAGGAUGUCACGGUUCGUAACGAGACUGCAU